rnacentral:rRNA from 1 species
UGGGGAAUUUUGGACAAUGGGCGAAAGCCUGAUCCAGCAAUGCCGCGUGUGUGAAGAAGGCCUUCGGGUUGUAAAGCACUUUUGUCCGGAAAGAAAUCCUUGGCUCUAAUACAGUCGGGGGGAUGACGGUACCGGAAGAAUAAGCACCGGCUAACUACGUGCCAGCAGCCGCGGUAAUACGUAGGGUGCAAGCGUUAAUCGGAAUUACUGGGCGUAAAGCGUGCGCAGGCGGUUUGCUAAGACCGAUGUGAAAUCCCCGGGCUCAACCUGGGAACUGCAUUGGGUGACUGGCAGGCUAGAGUAUGGCAGAGGGGGGUAGAAUUCCACGUGUAGCAGUGAAAUGCGUAGAGAUGUGGAGGAAUACCGAUGGCGAAGGCAGCCCCCCUGGGCCAAUACUGACGCUCAUGCACGAAAGCGUGGGGAGCAAACAGGAUUAGAUACCCUGGUAGUCCACGCCCUAAACGAUGUCAACUAGUUGUUGGGGAUUCAUUUCCUUAGUAACGUAGCUAACGCGUGAAGUUGACCGCCUGGGGAGUACGGUCGCAAGAUUAAAACUCAAAUGGAAUUGACGGGGUCAUAGCUGUUUCCU